rnacentral:lncRNA from 1 species
AAACAAGGAUAGCUAUUGCAAACUCAAAGGCAAAUACUUUUAUUCAUCUCAAAGCUCUUAACUGUUUAUAUUAAUCAAUUAACUAAUUUAAAAGAGGUUCUAUCCAUUCUUAUUGCAGGUGGUUUUUAGACAAUGAGUUUCACUCACGUCAUUCUCAUCAUAGAAAUUCUACUGUAAGCAUCACAAAAUGUUAGCAGACUUGGUCAUUAAAUCAUUGUUGGUAGUACACAGUAUUUGGCUGACCACACUAAUAUUCAUUUAAGUUGCCAUAUUUUUUUAAUUACAUUUGCAUUAACGUAUUUAUAAUAAUCAUUUGAAUGAAAUUGCAUAUGUGAGACAGUGAAUGUGACUGUUAAAAGUCAUUAUUACAUAAAAUAUUUUGGUUAUAUAAAAAUCAAUCAUGGUUAUUAAAAACAGAAUAAGUAGAAUGAGUAAGAACAUCUUAUCAAUAACUGAGUGACAGAUUUCUGCACAGCACCUGAGGUUGUUCUGUUUGUGGGUUUAACAUCCCAUUUUUAUAACAGUUUUUAUAACAGUUAGUCAAGCUUCUAGAACCUUCAAUAAAACUAUUUGACAGGAAAAUUCACAAAACUUACUUUGCUUAUUUGGUUACAUACCAGCUAAUCUGAUUGGUUGAACCAUGUUCAUGGAGAUGUCAAUGCUUUAUAUGGCAACACAGUUAAUUUUUUUCUCGUUGGUUUUGCUUUUUAUGUCAGUAUAGUCAGGCCAUGGUCUUAAACUGGAGAAUUUGCAUCAGCUGAUUCAAAACUCAGUAAAGUUUUUGAUUCACAACCUUAUAUAUAUUAAAUGAUAAAAACAACUGCAUCGUGGAAGAACCAGUCCAGCCAAAAUUGUUAAAUCCACUUUAAGUUCAUUUUAUGAGACACGAACAUUUUCAUUAUACACCUGUAACCUGGUCACUGAUAAAAUUCAUGUAUAAACUUUGGUAACAUUCAUAAUGAUCCUGUUUAUGUUUUUAUCCCAGUUUAACUCCAAAACCUGCUCCUUGGGCAUUUUUAAUACCAUUCACUUGGCUACAAGCAUUUGGAUCAGAUCACUAUUUAUCUCUCUACCAAUAUAUUCUCAUGCAUAUAUUGAUCUGUGGAAAUUGAAGCUGAAUAGCAAUCACAUCAAUCACCUCAAUCUGGAAAGGGGUAGAAAGGUCAUGCAUUAACCUCACCCCACCUAACUUACAUAAGACUAUCUUAGUGAAGGCUUAAUAAAUAGCAUACGAAGGAAAGUUGUUGACAUCAACAUUGUUAUCAUUGCUAUUACCAUCAUUGGUGUUGCCAUCAUCACCAUCACCAUUGUUGCCAUUGCUCUCAUCAUACUAACCUCCGUUUUUCCUUGCUUCCAGGUGAAGUGAUAUUUCCUCUGGACCUUUGAACACAAACGACACAAUCAAUGGCGAAACAUGUUUAAUGGCAGAUUGUUGAUAAACAACAUCACUUAUACGAUGCUUAUGCUCAUUUACUAUUAGUAAUGCAAUGUCAAGUCAAGGAGACAUGAUUCCCCAUCCCCCCACAGACACAUACAUACAC